GCACCACAAGAACGCGUGGAGCAUGUGGCUUAAUUUGACUCAACGCGGGAAAUCUUACCGGGUCCGGACACACUGAGGAUUGACAGGCAAUAUCUCAUGUUAACGGUAAGUUUACUUACCGCUUACAUCAGUGUUAAAUAUGCUAGUCCUUUCAUGAUUAUGUGAUAGGUGGUGCAUGGCCGUUCUUAGUUCGUGGAGUGAUCUGUCUGCUUAAUUGCGUUUCACUAAGGGCCCAUAAAUUCAAGGUAUGUUAGCUCUCGUCGCUCUAUGGACCCCUUAACUCCAAUAUUCUUAUUGUGUUAAGCGCGUGUCUUUAUUUUAAGAGUUUUAAGACACUGCGCAUGCUGUUGGGCUCUGAAAGCAACAACGUGACCGCAACGUCUUGUUGCCUUAAACUAGCGUAUAUUGCAAUUUAUUGUAAUAUCGCUUACAGAGGCUAUUUAAAACUAGACGGACCGCUGUUUCUUUCUUAAACCAAAGGAAGGUUG
rnacentral:rRNA from 1 species